rnacentral:lncRNA from 1 species
UGUGUGUCUAGGAGCAAGGGACAGAAUGGAUGGUCAUUGUCCUUGGGGACUGGCUACUACUUGGACCAAACAAAACAGGAAAAGACACAAAAGACAUCUCUUCCUAUUGGAGAGGUGAUUUUGUUAUCUCUUGAAACUGUCUUAGCUAUGGGGAAGGGCCUCAUUCUGACAGAUAUGCAAGAAACUAGCAGAAGUUGUCGGUCCCCAGAGGAACAUAUCACUGCCCAGAAAAAUAGAAUUC